rnacentral:rRNA from 1 species
AACGAACGCUGGCGGCAUGCCUAACACAUGCCAGUCGAACGAUGCCUUCGGGCAUAGUGGCGCACGGGUGCGUAACGCGUGGGAAUCUGCCUUUCGGUUCGGAAUAACUCAGGGAAACUCGAGCUAAUACCGGAUAACGUCGCAAGACCAAAGAUUUAUCACCGAAAGAUGAGCCCGCGUAGGAUUAGCUAGUUGGUGAGGUAAAGGCUCACCAAGGCGACGAUCCUUAGCUGGUCUGAGAGGAUGAUCAGCCACACUGGGACUGAGACACGGCCCAGACUCCUACGGGAGGCAGCAGUGGGGAAUAUUGGACAAUGGGCGAAAGCCUGAUCCAGCAAUGCCGCGUGAGUGAUGAAGGCCUUAGGGUUGUAAAGCUCUUUUACCCGGGAAGAUAAUGACGGUACCGGGAGAAUAAGCCCCGGCUAACUCCGUG